AAAAUGUAAUGAUCCUNUUCCGUAGGUGAACCUGCGGAAGGAUCAUUACAUUUUCGAGGUGCUAAUCGCACAUCGAUUCUACCCUUGUCUUUUGCGCACUCAUGUUUCCUCGGCGGGCUUGCCCGUCGAUUGGACAAAUUUAAACCCUUUUUAAUUUUCAAUCAGCGUCUGAAUAAACUAAAUAAUUACAACUUUCAACAACGGAUCUCUUGGUUCUGGCAUCGAUGAAGAACGCAGCGAAAUGCGAUAAGUAGUGUGAAUUGCAGAAUUCAGUGAAUCAUCGAAUCUUUGAACGCACAUUGCGCCCCUUGGUAUUCCAUGGGGCAUGCCUGUUCGAGCGUCAUUUGAACUCUCAAGCUUUGCUUGGUGUUGGGUGUUUGUCCUUUUAGGACUCGCCUCAAAAUAAUUGGCAGCCAGCGUAUUAGUCUUGGAGCGCAGCACAUUUUGCGAUCUAGCUAGUAAAUUGGCAACCAUCAAGCCUAUUUUAACAC
rnacentral:rRNA from 1 species